rnacentral:tRNA from 1 species
AUGCCGGAACGAGGGCUUGCAUGCGAUUGCCCUCUCACGGCGGGAACAGGGGUUCGAUUCCCCUUGGGCGUACCA